UGGCAGAACAAUGCUGCUGAGAUCAAACUCCGGGUACAGAUCUCGAACGGCUUCCCGAACGUCCUCGUACCCCACCCGAUACGAAAGGAAGCCGCUCUCCAGAAGCUCUUCUCGAUACUCUUCCGAGUCGUGGAAGUCUUCAACAGUCCGACCCAUGGCCUCCUUCGCCGACUCCGCUUCUGCCUUCGCGAUGUCUGCGUCGGCCUGGGCGAUG
rnacentral:lncRNA from 1 species